rnacentral:rRNA from 1 species
ACUACGGGUGGCAGCAGUGGGGAAUAUUGCACAAUGGGGGAAACCCUGAUGCAGCAAAGCCGCGGGAGUGAUGAAGGCCUUCGGGUUGUAAAGCUCUGUCAGCAGGGACGAUAAUGAAGGUACCGGAGGAGGAAGCAACGGCUGACUACGUGCCAGAAGCCGCGGUAAUACGUAGGGGGAGAGGGUUGGCCGGAUUGACUGGGCGUAAAGGGAGAGUAGGCGGACUUUUAAGUGAGAUGUGAAAUCCUCGGGCUCAACUUGAGUGCUGCAUUUCAAACUGGAAGUAUAGAGUGCAGGAGAGGAGAAUGGAAUUCCUAGUGUAGCGGUGAAAUGCGUAGAGAUUAGGAAGAACACCAGUGGCGAAGGCGAUUCUCUGGACUGUAACUGACGCUGAGGCUCGAAAGCGUGGGGAGCAAACAGGAUUAGAUACCCGGGUAGUC